UUACAAACCGACGCAGCUUUAUUUCUGAAAUGAUUCCAAACUGAAAAUAGAAAAACAGAUCCGUUAUCUCGUGUAGACUGAAAAUGUUCACUGGGAAGUUUGAGCUUCAGCAGGCGAAGCUUCCUGCAAAUAGCUCCAAAUCUGUGAAAAUGUACAUUCAGUACAUCAGUGUUUCAGAAGCAGCUGGAUCUUACUGGUGGACACGUGUUUCAGUCACGGCUCAGUUUAGUCGGGUUGGUUGGUCACGCCCACAGAAAUGAUGCCUGAUGGACAGCGGCUGAACUUAAAAUCACAUCGUGUGCAUUAUUAAAUAACUGAGUCAGGGAUCACUUCCUCUGUGCUAUGAUACCGCGUCUCAUUAUUGAUGCUCUUGCAGCAUUUGGAUCCACAAUCUGGGCUGAAGAUGAGAUAUCACCUAACAUUAGACCUGCAGCGGCGUGGGGCUGCGCCGCUUCUCUGCAUGAGUCCGGUCUGAGACAGCAGCCUGCUCUCCUCACGCUCUUUGCUCGGCUGUAUUUGGCUGCGUUGGCCGACGAAGCUUAGCUGUGUCAUUUCAAUCCAGUCAUCCAGGAGGAUUAGUGGAGCUCAGCAGGGGGAGAACAGAGCAGGAAGCUGCUCCAACGCGAGCAACUUCCUGUCGUUUCUCAGCGCCGAGAACGCGCGGGGCAGACGGCAGGCGCUGGAGGACGCUGGCUGCUGGAGCCUCUCCAGACGCUGCUUUGGCAAAGCUACUGCGAGCGCAGAUGGCUCGGUCGUCAACGAGCACACGCAGCACGACAACACAAACACGUAAAAGCCCCUGACAGCAGAUGACACACGAGCACACGCACGCAGCAGCGCACAGCCCCCACACACUGAAACGUGUGAAUGAACACUGCCGCACACACAGCGUCCACAUCAAAUUGGGCAUGAGACUAAAUGCUACAUCAAAUCUACUUUAAUUCCUGAUCCCUUCAACCCUGGAGUGGCCUGCUUUACGGGACCAAAAUAAAAACAGCAACUGUGUUCACAGAUUAGUUUUGGGUGCUUGUGUUUGUGGUCACGAGAGAGGCUCUCUGACCGAGGCAGAAGCACCACGGGCCGACAACGCUUCCGUCUUUCACUCCCUACCUGCGCUCGCCAGCGCUGCAAAUGAAAGCACAAACCAGUGAAAGCCCACUCUGGCAUGGGUUAUGAAUUUUGAGCUUACAGUCCAAAACUGAGAAAGAGAUGCUAUGCUCGUGAGCAGCAGCAAUGAGGCCUGUUCUCAGUAAUGACGGUUUGGAUACAGCUCCUGAAAGAUGCUGCUGUCAGCACUCAAAGCUGUGAAAGAGGUCGGUUAUCAUCACAGGUCAGAACACUAAGAGAGAGAAAUAACACGUCAAACCAGCCGUCAGACUGGAUGCUGUGAAGAUUUUCUGUGUCUGCCCAAAGGCCCAAACCUCUGCAUGCAACAGCUCAGGUUGAUCCU